rnacentral:misc_RNA from 1 species
GGCAUCGGCAGCGAGGGGCC